GGCAGAGUGGCUGAGUGGUCUAAAGCGUUAGACUUGAAUCAACUCUUCGAUUCCUGCUAUCUAAUACCUUCGGGUGCGCAGGUUCGAACCCUGCCUCUGUCG
rfam:Trichoderma gamsii strain T6085 Scaffolds0001.1, whole genome shotgun sequence.